CUAAAGGCUAUUUUCAGAGCCACCCACACAGACACUUUCAAGAGCUGU
rfam:Xenopus laevis strain J chromosome 7L, whole genome shotgun sequence.